AACGCGAAGAACCUUACCUGGGCUCGAAAUGUAGUGGACCGGGGUAGAAAUAUCCCUUUCUAGCAAUAGACUGCUAUAUAGGUGCUGCAUGGCUGUCGUCAGCUCGUGUCGUGAGAUGUUGGGUUAAGUCCCGCAACGAGCGCAACCCUUAUCUCUAGUUGCCAUCAUUCAGUUGGGCACUCUAGCGAAACCGCCUCGGAUAACGGGGAGGAAGGUGGGGAUGACGUCAAGUCCUCAUGGCCUUUAUGUCCAGGGCUACACACGUGCUACAAUGGCCGGUACAAACCGCUGCAAACCCGUGAGGGGGAGCUAAUCGGAAAAAGCCGGCCUCAGUUCGGAUUGGAGUCUGCAACUCGACUCCAUGAAGCUGGAAUCGCUAGUAAUCGUGGAUCAGAACGCCACGGUGAAUACGUUCCCGGGCCUUGUA
rnacentral:rRNA from 1 species